GUGCUUACUUCAGUGGCACAUAUACUAACAUUGGAAGGACACACAGAUUAGCAGGGCCCCUGCUCAAAGAUGACAUGAAGAUUUGUGAAGUAUUCUAUUAAAAA